rnacentral:tRNA from 1 species
UGGGCUGCUAGCUCAGGGGUAGAGCAUCUGACUUUUAAUCAGGGGGUCGUUGGUUCAAAUCCAACGCGGCUCAU